rnacentral:rRNA from 1 species
UGCAGUCGAACGGCAGCGGGGACUUCGGUCCGCCGGCGAGUGGCGAACGGGUGAGUAAUGCAUCGGAACGUGCCUAUCAGUGGGGGAUAACGCUUCGAAAGGAGUGCUAAUACCGCAUAUUCUCUGAGGAGAAAAGCAGGGGACCUUAGGGCCUUGCGCUGAUAGAGCGGCCGAUGUCGGAUUAGCUAGUUGGUGAGGUAAAGGCUCACCAAGGCGACGAUCCGUAGCGGGUCUGAGAGGAUGAUCCGCCACACUGGGACUGAGACACGGCCCAGACUCCUACGGGAGGCAGCAGUGGGGAAUUUUGGACAAUGGGCGAAAGCCUGAUCCAGCCAUGCCGCGUGAGUGAAGAAGGCCUUCGGGUUGUAAAGCUCUUUUGUCCGGGAGGAAAUCCUGGCCUCUAAUACAGGUCGGGGAUGACAGUACUGGAAGAAUAAGCACCGGCUAACUACGUGCCAGC